rnacentral:rRNA from 1 species
AUUGAACGCUGGCGGCAUGCCUUACACAUGCAAGUCGAACGGUAACGGGCCUUCGGGUGCCGACGAGUGGCGAACGGGUGAGUAAUACAUCGGAACGUGCCCGAUCGUGGGGGAUAACGAGGCGAAAGCUUUGCUAAUACCGCAUACGAUCUACGGAUGGAAGCAGGGGACCGCAAGGCCUUGCGCGGACGGAGCGGCCGAUGGCAGAUUAGGUAGUUGGUGGGAUAAAAGCUUACCAAGCCGACGAUCUGUAGCUGGUCUGAGAGGAUGAUCAGCCACACUGGGACUGAGACACGGCCCAGACUCCUACGGGAGGCAGCAGUGGGGAAUUUUGGACAAUGGGCGCAAGCCUGGUCCAGCCAUGCCGCGUGCAGGAUGAAGGCCUUCGGGUUGUAAACUGCUUUUGUACGGAACGAAAAGCCUUCUUUUAAUACAGGAGGGUCAUGACGGUACCGUAAGAAUAAGCACCGGCUAACUACGUG